GCUCUUCAACGAGGAAUCCCUAGUAAGUACAAGUCACUAGCUUGUGCUGAUUACGUCCCUGCCCUUUGUACACACCGCCCGUCGCUACUACCGAUUGAAUGGCUUAGUGAGGCCUUCGGAUCGGAGGUGAGGACUAGCAAUAGACCUUACUUUCGAGAAGUUGGUCAAACUUGGUCAUUUAGAGGAAGUAAAAGUCGUAACAAGGUUUCCGUAGGUGAACCUGCGGAAGGAUCAUUACCAAUCUUUAGUGAGCCUGGACUUGUCCAUGGUCUCGCGAAAUCUUGUAUUUAAAACCUACUCUUAUAAUUAAAAAAAAUGUAUUAAUGAUAAAUUAAGAUCACUUUCAACAACGGAUCUCUUGGCUCUCGCAUCGAUGAAGAACGUAGCGAAGUGCGAUAAGUAGUGUGAAUUGCAGAAUUCCGUGAAUCAUCGAAUCUUUGAACGCAAAUUGCACUUUCUGGCAACCCGGAGAGUAUGCCUGUUUGAGGGUCAGUAUUAAUAAAAAUCGGUGCGUUGCAAAUUUUUGUGACGUUCCGGAGUUUGAGUUAUCUUAACUUGGUUCUAAGAGGCUUAAAAUUGACCUUUUUUGUGCAUUUUAGACGUACAUAAAUUUCCUUUAUUCGUCUAUCCUAAUGCCAAAAUCUAUUAGAUGCGACCAUGUCUUGUGGUUAUGUGUCUAUAAAUUUUUUUCAUGAUUUGACCUCAAAUCAGGUAGGAACACCCGCUGAACUUAAGCAUAUCAAUAAGCGGAGGAAAAGAAAAUAACAAUGAUUCCCCUAGUAACUGCGAGUGAAGAGGGACAAGCUCAAUUUUAAAUCUGUCGGUUUUACCUGAUCGAGUUGUAAUUUGAAGAAGCGUUUUCUGCGUAUUUGGUUCAGGCCAAGUCCUAUUGAUUGAGCAUCAUGGAGGGUGAAUAAUCCGGUCGACUGAUCAUUGGCGUUUUAUGAAUCGCUUUCUAAGAGUCAAGUUGUUUGGCUGCCAGCUUUAAGUGAAGUAUUUCUCUCUUAGACUUAUUACGCGAAGACCGAUGCCUAACAGUACC
rnacentral:rRNA from 1 species